rnacentral:lncRNA from 1 species
CCCUGGCCUGGUAAAGGCUGCGACAUUCCUUUGGGCUGAGUCCCUAACUCCUUGUCUUUCUUCUCUCUUGGUAAGGUUAUGUUGUUUUUGUGCUGGUGGCCUAUAUUCUGGAUUUUCUGAGGACUCUGUCCUUUGUAUUAAUCUUUAUACGUAUGAUUAUUAUUUUCCUGAUCCGAAGCUUAUUAUUUAAUAAACUCCUUGGGAAAAAUAGGUUCAAAGUCCUGUGAAAAGUCCCCCUUGAACUUUUGCCUGAGGUGGUAAGAAAAAAGUCAGGCUGCACCUGGAAUCUGGACUUUUGUAAAUUCUUUGAAGGCAAUGAGGAUAUGGGAUAUUUAAACAAAUUACAUUUCUGGGAAGAUUUUUAAGUAAACAGUUUCGGUUCAAAGCUUUUGAGAGGGGUACUUUUAAUCAUACCACAUAUAAUGCGCAAAAUAUUUUCUCGAUGUUACUUUCCUCCAAUUCAAAAGACUUUGUCCAGGCUGAGGUCGUAGUACAGUGGUAGAGGCUUGCCUAACAUGCAUGAAGCACUGGGUUCAAUCUCAGCACUGCAUAUAAAUAAAAUAAAGGUCCACUGACAAGUAAAAAUAAAUAUAUAUAAAAGACUGUCCUACUCCUAAGAUUUUCUAAUAAAAGUUAUAACUGCUUGAGAGUAGGCUCAGUCAAAAGGACAAACUAAGAGGUUUAAACAUUGAAAAGAAGGUGGCAAAAUUGUCCUUAUUUGAAGGUGACAUUAUCAUAGAAUUGGGAAACUUAAGAGAAUCAGCUUAAAGUUAAUAGAAAUAAUAGUAGUGUUUACCAAGACAGCCAAUACAAAACAAAUAUGUAAAGACCAAUAAAAUUCAUAUAUUCCAACCAAAACCAGUUAAAAAUAUAAUAAGUAAAAUUAUUAUAAUCACAAAUAAAGACAACAAUAACUAACAGGAAGUAUGUAGGACCUAGACGAGUAAAAAUUUAAAACAAUAGAGGACACAAAAAGGCUUACUCAGAAGAUUUCAUUCCAUAUCCAUUUUUUAAUGUUCAUCUAUGGAGUCAAUGAAAUUCCAACAAAACUAUAUUAUUUUCUUUUGCAAACUGACCUGAGCUUUAGUUUAACUGGAAGAACAAUUAUGUGAAACCGAUCAGUAAAAAAUUUUCAAAAUAGUUGUUAAGUGAGGACCCGACGCUGGUAGCUGCCUCCAAGAUAGCUGGUGAUGAUCUCGGCUGUCUGCUUCCACUCCUUUGUGUGGACCCUUCUUCCCACACUGUACCAGGGUGGGACUGCCUGAUAAAAUAUAGAAUGCCCAGUUAAAUUUGAAUUUCAGAUGAAUAAUGCAUAAUUUCUUUAAGCAUAAAUAUGUUUCAACUAAUGCAUGGAAUAUACUUACACUAAAAAAUAAGUCAUUGUUUAUUUGAAAAUCAAAUUUAAUUGGGAAUAAUAUAUAUUUGCUUGUCAUAUCUGUCAACAUUAUUAAGCCAAGUUUGGUCUGUGUAAUUAAUGGCAUAUUAUGAAAGUAAUAAUGUGUUGCUUCUGAGAUCUAGGUUGUAAAAUUAUGUGAGUUCUGUCUUGGGCAUCUGCUCUCCUUCUCUCUCUUUCUUUCGUCUCUCACUUUGGAAGAAGCAAACUGUCAUGUUGUGAGCAGCCUUAUGGAAAGGCCCACAUGGCAAGGAGCCCAAAUCUCCAGCCAGCAUCUGAGAAACUGCCAGCAGUAAGUGAGUUUAGAAGUGGAUCCUUCAGCCCCCGUCAAUGCUUGAGAUGACUGCAACCCAAGCAUCCCCUUAAGUGCUAUCUCUAAGAGGCUGAGCCAGGACCACUCAGUUAAGCUGCUCCCAGAUUUAUGGCCCUCAGAAAUUGUGCAAGAUAAUAAAUGUUAGUUUAAGGCACUACAUUUUGGGGUCAUUUUUUAUUUAGCAAUAGGUAACCAAUACACUGACCAUUUAAAACAUUGCCCAAAAUAAACAGAGCCUCCUGUCUCUGGACUAGGCUUUUAAAUGAAAUGAAAUGAAAAUUUUAGGACACAAAAAAACAAAAACCUUUUGAAAUAUUUUUACUUUUUUUUUUCUUUCUCCUCCCCCAACCCCGUACAAGGAUUGAACCCAGGGGCACUUAACCACUGAGCCACAUCUCCACCAUUUUUAAAAAUUUUUUAUUUUGAGACAGGGUCUUGCUAAGUUGCUUAGGGCCUGGCUAAAUUGUGAGGCUGGCUUGGAAAUUGCAAUUCUCCUGCAUCAGCCUCCCAAGCCGCUGGGAUUACAGGCAUGUACUACCUGUUCCUUUAUUCCCUAUGACAAUGAUAAGCAAUAUUAGAUAAUAUAAAUAUUAUCUAUGUUGGAGCUUAGAAAAUGAUACCUCCAAGUGAAGUCCUCAGAUGCAUGCAAUCUUACAAACAGUUUCUCUCUGACCUUCUCCUGUCCUGUCUCUUACCCCUCAUUCUCCCUAGAGAAAAGCCAAAAACAAACAAACAAAACCUAGAGUUCCUCUUUCCCAAAGUGGAUCAUAGAAACCACAACACAUCUUCCCAAUACCAGCCAUAAAAACCUAAAAGUAAUUAUUCUACAUUCCUUCCAUCAUUCUAUGUAGAGUUGGCUGUACAGAAAUUCUGUCACUAUCUUGUAUUUUUCUUUCUUAUUUUUAUUUUUCAUUUUUUUUUGGUAGUACUGGCAAUUGAACCCAGGGAUGCUCUACCACUGAGCUACAUCCCCAGCCCUUUUGAUUUUUUGUUCUGAGGCAGAGUCUCACUAAAUUGCUCAGACUGGUCUCAAACUUGCAAUUCUCCUGCCUCAGCCUCCUGAGUAGCUGGGAUUACAGGCAUAGGCCAUGGUACCCCACUCACCUAUCUUGUUUGAUUAUAGCUCAUAAGAACCACAUUUCAGAGAGGGUCUGGCCCCACACCUGAAAAAGAAGGAAGCUACAUGAGAGGCCAACUAGGAUCCAGACAGGCCUUUCUGGGCUUCCCCCAUCAGUCUAUUAUUAGUAACUCAUACCCUUUGUGUCUUCUACAUGGUGCCCAUGCCUCAUGGAACCUAAGCAUAAAAAUGGGUAGUUAACCUGGGUCUUGGGGUCUUCAAUCUGGAGGCUUCCAUGUCAUGUUAAAACUAUGAUCAAAUAAAUUUGUUAUGCUUUUCUCUUGUUAACUUGUCUUUAAUUACAGGGUGUUGGGCCAGGCCCCUUUAUGACAGGCAGAAAAAGGAUGACUCUUUUUUCUGUCCCUACACCAGCAUUGCUGCCUUUUACCUAUCUAAGGUUAAAAUAUUUCAAUAUUUGUGCAUUCCAGGGUCCCAGGCUGAUGCAGCUUUCAUGGCCUUGGAGCUGGACAGAGUCUGCAUAUAACCUAUGGCCAAAUGUCCUAGGCAAUACUGAGUGACUGCUUCAGGGAAGUAGGGGAUGGGUUCUGAUCUCUUUUAAUACCUUCACUAGGAAAAUAUUGUAGGUACUUCGUCACACUGCACUAAGAUUCUCUGGAAUUGCAAGUUUGAGGGAGUCUUGAACUUGGUAAGACCUAUCUCAAAAAAAAAAAAAGUGCUGGGGUUGUAGCUCAGAGGUAAAACACUCCUGGGUUCAAUCCCUAGUACUGAAAAAACAAACCCCAAAACUAAAACAAACAACUCCUCCCCCCAAACAAAACAAAACAAAUUUUCUUACCCUUGCUUAAGGCAAUUUCAAUAGUAACACAUACUUUGGUUCCUCAUUGAAAGCACUAAGGGGCAAGUCCGUCCCAAUUUUCUGGUAGAAACAUUAAUUACAGUAAUUACCUGAAGAUGAUAUGAUAAUUUUAGCUUUAUAAUUUUCAGUUUUUCAGAAAGCAAUUAGAAAGUUCAUUGAUUGUAUUUGACAGACACUUAUUUUAGUUCUUUUUAUACAUUUACAUAAUUGUUUUCCUCACCUGUAAAGCAAAGGAGUAGGCUCUUGCCUAUAACUUUAAUGCUCUAGUUACCCUCAUUACAUGUGAGGGCACAGGCUUGCCAAGUCACAUGCUUGCCUUUUAGUGAGCAGAGCUUGUUUGAUAAUCAGUAGACUCUAACCUCCAAAGAUCUUAGUCUCAGCCUUCCAGUGACUAAGAUUCCAAGUACUUUCCCUCUGCUGGCUUUUCCCAUUUUAAAUAGGAAGAUAUCUAUAAGAAUUUGCCUCAGUUAUUCAUGAGAAUAGUAGGAAUGGUAACUAUGUAAUUUAUUCAAAAGCUAUAGGUAUCUUAUAUACAUCAUAUACAGUCUACUUUUCAAUUCCUAUGUGGACAAUGAGAAUUACCAAAUUGCAAAAUUUGUCCUUUUAUAGUAAGCUAUGUUAUUUGCUCAGGGUCUGCUUAACCUCAACAAAGCAUCAGGUUCACAAGAGAAGUGUAGGGGAAGAAAAAGGCUUCUUUCUACCCUUACAGAUUCUGUAGCCAUGUAAGAAUUAAAUUGACAUAAGACAAAUUAACAAGUGAAAAAUAAUUUUAAUUAUGUAUAUACACAGGGGAGUUUCAUAAAAAUGUGAGAUUCAAGGAGGCAGCCAGAUGAUUGAAAUUUAUUUAUCAUCUUAAACUACAGAGAAGGAUAGGGGUUGGUGACUUCUGGGGAGCUUGAAGGGGGAGGCAGACUGUAGGGAGGGGAGAGGAGACAAUGUUGGGUGAAUAAAGUUGCCUUAUUAUGCAGGUAGGAAUCUUUCAGGUGAUGUAAAUUGUCUGAAAGUGGCUUUCUUUCUGGUACAGGAACCUUUACUAGUGGAAAUUGCCUUUAUAGAUGUAAAUUCCCUUUACAAAAGGGGAAAUUCAUGUUUCAUUUCCAACAUGUUUCCAACAUGAAAUUCAUGUUGAAGGGGAGGUAAAGAGUUGCCUUUAGCUUAAAAUAAUCACUAUGUCACUCUGGACUCAUCUGGAUGGUUUUCCACUCCCACACCAAGUGUGCUUUAGAUGACAUGAAGUCUGGAUUCAGAUGGGCCUGUUGACCAGAGAACCUACAUGUGGUCUCCCUCUGUGGCUUGAGCUUCCCACAAAAUAGUAGCUCAAGUUCCAAGAGGGAGCUUCCUAAGAGUGUGUUCCAAGAGACCUGUGCAGAAACUGUGUGACCAUAUGACCAAGUCUCAGAAGUCACAUAGCAGUGCAUUUUCCAUAUUCUAUUGCAGAAAUCAGCAAACUAUGGUCUAAAGACAAAUCUAAACUGUCAUUUAUAUAUUUAUUUUUUAAGUACUGAGGUUUGAACCCAGGGCUUUACACAUGCUGUGCAAGUGCUACAUUGGUAGCUUUUUUUGGUUCUAUUUUGAGAGAGGGUCUCAUUAAGUUACCAAGGCUGCUGCAAACCUUCUGCCUCCACCUUCAGUGUCACUGGGAUUACAGGUGUGCACCCACCCUGCCAACUUGCCAUGUGUUUUUGUAAGUAAAAUCUUAUUGAAACACCUCUAUGUCCUUUUUUUUUGGUGGCAUUACUGUCUGUGGCUGCUUUAACUCUUUAAUAGUAGUUACAGCAGAGAUCACAUAGUAUGCAAUGCCUAAAAUAUUUACUAUAUAGUCUUUACAGAAAUAGUUUGCUGAACCCAAUAUAUUUGAUAAAGCAAUCAGAAGCCUGCCCAGUGCCAAGGGGAGGAAGAAAGAGACUCCUUUCUUGGUGGAAGAUGUGUCAAAGAAGUUAUGAUCAUUUUUUUAAAAAAUCACCAUACCCCAUUUCCUCUUCAUAUUUUGAUCUUUGAUUGGUUUUAAAUUUUAUAAGCUACUUAAAAUAGCUUUUUCAACUGUUUGAGUGUGUACUAAAGUUGCUUCUGUUAGAGAAGUUGAAAAAAGUGGAAGUUGUCCAUAUCAUUUUUUAAGUUAUAUUCCUUUGAAACUUUCCUGUGUCAGGUCUUGUGGAUGCACAGUUGGGUAAUAAUUCUUCCAAAGAAGGUUAACCCAUGUCCACAGAGUUAAUACUAAGGACAAAGAAGAUCUUUAGUUCCUUAAAAAAAAAAAAAAAAGUAAAUGCUAAACAGUGGUUGAAAUAGUGGAGUUUCACUUGGACAGCAAGUUUCAGGUUAAAUAAAUCAUUACAUAUUAAUGAAAUUUUAACUUAAGUAUGCAAUAUUAAUCCCAUUUUUAGCCAGGCUGGUGGUAUUUGCUUGUAAUUCCAGCUACUCAGGAGGCUGAGACAAGAGGAUCAAAAGUUUGAGUGCAGGGGCUGGGGUAGUAGGUCAGUGGCAGAGCGCUUGCUUAGCAUGCGUGAGGUACUGGGUUCAAUUCUCAGCAUCACAUAAAAAUAAAGGCAUUGUGUCCAUCUACAACUAUCAAAAAUAAAAUAAAAUAAAAAAGAUUUUGAGGCCAGCCUCAGCAACUUAAUGAGUUCCUGGCUCAAAAAUUAAAAAGGUCUGAGGGUGUAACUCAGUGGUAGAAUGUUUGCCUAGGGUGUGUUUGCCUGGGUUCAAUCUUCAGUACUGCCCCUAGGAAAGUAUCAUUUUUAUAAUCACCCAAAUUCCUCAUCUGUAGAAUGAGGGGGAUGGUCAGUGUUUCUCAACUUUGGCUGCAUAUUCAAAUGGUGAAAAGCCUAGACCCCUUUCCCAGAUAAUGAGAUUAAAAUCUCUGAAGACAGUUUUAAAAGCCCUCAACGAUUUUUUAAUUUUUUGUUGUUGUUGAUAGACCUUUAUUUUAUGUUGAGAAUUGAACCCAAUGCCUCACACAUGCCAGGCAAGUGCACUACUGCUGAGCCCCAGCCCCCGCCCCCCCCCAAACAAUUUUAACUACAGCCAGGAAGAUAAAUAUGUGAUUGAGUGAUUGUAAAUUCCUUACAGAUGGUAAAAUUCUGUUUAUUAUGAAAAUGAGAGGGAUAUGAAAAUAGGAAGCUUUCCUGUAUUUGCUGCUUAUGCCACUGAGAAAAUUAUUUGGAAUGAAAGUUUGUCUGUUUUAAUGUGAUAGCUAGCGUGUCUUCAACAUUUCAUGGUUAUUUGAACUAGCUAAUUUAGGCAAAAGCAAAGUCAAGUGUUUUGAUUUUCACAUGUCUUUGACCUACUGAUCAUUGUGCACUGUAUGUCUACUUAGAGCAGAUCUCAUGGAACAUGCUAAUGUGAUACCCAUUCUGUAUGAUAUUGGCCCAUGUCUCAGAUAUGUAUUAGUGUGGUUUUUCUCAAACUUAAGUGUACACUUGGAAAAUCAUGUCAAAGUGCAUACUCAUAUUCAAUAAGUUUGGGGUGAGACUCUGGUCUAAGAAUCUGUGUUUUGAACAAGCUCCAGAAUGAUGCCUCUGCUAUCCAUUUUUUUCAUCCAUCAUGGGCAAACUGCACUUUGAGUAGCAACGCAUUAAUAUGCAUGUAAAAAGUGAUUUAACUCAGAACUGCAAGCUCAGUUUCAGUACUUAUUUUUUUUAAAAUUUAUUUUUUAGUUGUAGUUGGACACAAUACCUUUAUUUUACUUAUUUAUUUUUAUGUGAGUGCUGAGAAUCGAACCCAGGGUCUUGCACGUGCAAGGUGAGUGCUCAACCGCUGAGCCACAACACCAGCUUCAGUACUUAUUGAGAAAAAAAAUGGAGGGGCUGGGUUGUAACUAAGUGGUAGAAGAGCACUUGCCUAGCACAUGUGAGGCACUGGGUUCUAUUCUCAGAACUGCAUAUAAAUAAAUAAAUUAAGUAAAGGUCUCAUCAACAACUAAAAAAAAUUUUUAAAAAUUAAAAGAAUGGAAUCACGGGAGAAAGAAAAGAGAUAUAGAGACAUUUUAAAGUUUAUUAUGCUAGGCAUAAUAAUACCUCUUUUUUGAUUUUCUUAAAGAAACAAUUCACUGAGGAAACUAUAGACUAUGAGUCUGCUUCUUCCCACAGUUGCACCCAUAAUUCGUUUCUCCAUCUGUGUGAUAUCUAUCAUCUUUGGACUUUGUGCAGUGACUAAUCCUGAAAGUUAGCUUAGCAGCUGAGAAUUCAUUUCAUUAGAGACAUAUGGUAUUUAAUUCAUAUGGUAUGGUGGGAAAAUAUAUUGGACUGGAAGGUAGAAGCCCUAGUUUCUCAUCUUUAUCAUCUUUUGACUAUGUGAACUUUAGCAAGUUACAUAAUUUCAUUUAGUCUUAUUCUUGUGUUCAGAUCUAAGUUAAUAAGCCCUGUCUGCUGUACAGAGUAUUAAGAAUAGCAAAUAAGAUAGUUGAGAAAGUACUCUAUGAAUUAUAAAGUAGCAUACAUCUAAGUUAUUAUCAUUAUUAUCCACAGAGUAUUGACUAUAGGAUCACAUCCAAAACUACAUUGGCUUUUGAUACUGUUAACCUUCAGCACUCUUUACUAGUAGAGGAGUGACAGUAAGAAUUUGAUGAUGAAUAAGUCACCUGGAGUCUCUAUCUUUGAAGGUGCUGAAUUCAGAGAAUUAAAAAUAUGGAGUUUUGAGAGUCUUGAGAAAGACUGAAGAAAGAAUUCUUGGGGGAAAUGGUUAUGUAUCAUACUAGAUACUUGACUAUCUCCUUCCCAGUUCCCAAUCUGGCACAGCGGAGCAUUGGUAAUUUUGAUGUGAAAGCCCACAAAAUGAUCGUGAGUAAAAGCCAAUUUUGAAUUUAAAAAUAGGGGGAAAAAAAGAAAUUGGUUUCUCUGAUCCUUUGUGGGAUUCAGUUUAGAGGACCUGUUAAUACCAUGUCUUUCCUUUACUCUCUAGAAUGCUUGCUGCAGAGUAAUAAUCUACUAUUAGCUAUACAAAGCACACAAAAAGAUUUGGCUUUCAUUACAAUAGAGGGAGAAACACAUUAAUUUCGAAAAAGUGAUCUCAGCAUGUGUGGAUGAGUAAAAAGUUUAUGCCAUAGGAUACAUAGUCCAUAAAGGACCUCAGGUGAUCAUCUGCAAAGUGGAAAAUUGAGUUAACGCCGUAUGGUAAUAGCAGUGAAACAGUCAAUACCCCUGGACUUUACUUUUAUGGAGUUCCUUUUCCUAUCCUUCCUAUAGUGCCCUGGGACAGAGAUGGCUAUUUGAAUGAAAUUGCCAUCUUUCUUGAAGAUGACCAGACUAAUAAAUGUAGGAUACCAUGGUUACAGUCACUGUGGAAACUCUGGGUAUAGCAGGAAACAUUUUUGUGAGUAUACCUCUUUCAUUAGUUAACCUAAAAUAAUUUCAUGAAUACAUUUUAGAGUCCCCAAAGUUCUGCUCUGUGUAGGUAUAGACAUCUUUUCACUAACUUUCUUAUAAUCACUUUCCUCAAUGGUAGAAACUUAUUCCUGCUGUUUAGUUCACUUGAGGCUUCUCUGAUAGUUAAUAGUCUGAUUUUAAAGAUUCAGACUCCCCUCCAAUAACUUGCUCCUUCAUUUCUGGUGUCAUUUCAUGAGCAGAGUAACUGGGGUUCUUUAAUUUGUGGACACUCACUAUCUCUCUUGAUUCUGACUUUCUCUCACGGCAGAAGAAGGCACUUUUCCUGACUAUCCACAUGUUGUGGAUUGAUGCUUCCUAAAAUCCAUGCCUUGAUGGCUAGUGACUUUGUUCCUGCUGUGGGAAGUGUGAUGUGUCUUUUGGGAUAAGAAUUACUUAUUGACCUUACUUGUUAAUUUUGAGCAAAAUUCAGAGCUCCAGGUAUUGAUCCACUGACAAAACUGAAACCUCUCUUCCUUAUUAUAGCACAUUAGGUAUGCAAAAUGGUUAGUUACCUGCCCCUUCCUAAGCAAUUAAUCUGGAAUGUAUAUGUAGGCAUUAUCUUCCUGGUUUUAGUUUCAUUAAUUGGUACUUUGAUCCUUUGGAAGAAACCAAGGUCUAGAAGUGUGAGAACCCAGGGGAAUUUCCCAUUGAAUUUCUAGAUCACAAGUUCCCUAGUUGUGGUGUUCUUUUUGGUUCAAAUCUAUCCCUGGGAACAUUGUCUUAGUAUUGGUGACUAUUAUCAAAGGAGCCCAACUUUCUAGGACAGUAUAAGCCAGAAUAAGGAUAUUAAGGAGUCCCUUCAAUAUCCUUGGUCUACUCUCUAGUCCUAAUCUUGGGGUAUCUUGGGGAGUACUAGUCUGGACACAAGCUUUAGGGUGGCCUAGCAUCUCUUAUACUUUGAGGGAAGACCCAGAAGAUUGGCCUUUUGGUAGAAGGUUCUCUUUGGUCUUGUGUUAGCUACAGAGGAGGAUUCCAGUAAGGCAGUAUAGCUCUGGAUCACCUGAGCAUUUAUUUUUCCUUCAACAAUCCCAGAGCAUUCAGUUUUGCUCAGAAUAUUUACAGUUUGAUUGAUGCAAAGUAGAUCUUCCCUGGGUAGCUGCAGGUUAGAAUAGUUUCACUCAUCUCCACCUCUGUCAUUAUGGAAUCUCCCAAAGCUUCUCUGGGGUUAAAAUGUGGGUAACUCAAAGAUCUAUGUAGUUCCCAAGGAUGCCAAAAGGCACAGAUACUGCUACAGAAGUGCUUAUCUGAGACAAAAAUAGUAUUUCUCUAAUUUUAUCUCUGUUAAAAUUUACUCUAUCAAAAUGAAGAGAAUAAUAAGCAUCUCAGUACCAUUAUUGAAACUAAUAUUCCUGUUGUCUAAAAAAGAAAUUUCAUUUUGCCUGAUAUGCCAAUAGUAGGAAUGAGAUGACAAGACUCAGAUGUGGUUAUAGGAAACUUCAAGAAAAUAAAGUGAAAUAAUAUCCUUUACAGUUUAUAAAAUAAAAUAAAGUUUAUGAAUUUUUUCUUCCCUCAUAUGUAUUGAGCUCAGUCCCAAUUUAUUUUCAGAAGGCAUCCCAAAUAUAAUAGUGGGUAGCAAAGCAUUCCCACUAACUAGGAAUGUUAGCAUAAUAAACUAAGCCCUAUCCCACAGAUGAUCCCUCACUCUUGAUUGCUGCCUUUAAAAUGGCGACUUGGGAGCCCUAAUUGAAACUGAUCUACCCACAAGUGGUAGAGUCUAAAUUCAGGAUAAAAGUUAAGCAAACAGCAAAAGAAUAGAGUAGCCGGAAGGUUCCACUUUACAUUUAUAUAUUUUGUAAUAAAAAAAUUUUGUUUUUUCUUUGAGACGGAGGUUUUUCUUUAUUUCCCAGGCUGGCCUUGAACUCCUGGGCUCAAGUGAUCCUCCUUGUUUUAGUCAGCUUUUUUUUUUUUUCCUGUUGCAACCAAAAGACCUGACAAGAACAAUUAGAAGAGGAAAAGUUUAGGGGCUCACAGUUGGUUCCAGGUGUCUUAGUCCAUAGCUGGCCAACUCCAUUCCUGGAGGUUUGAAGUGAGGCAGAAUAUCAUGGUGGAAGUGUGUGGUGGAGGAAAGCAGCUCAGGACAAGAUGAUCAGGAAGGAGAGAGAGACAGAGAGAGAGAGAGAGCGAGCGCUCUGCUCAAUAAUAGAAACCCCAAAGGUACCCCACUCCCAAGCAGGGACCCACUUGUUCCAGCCACACCCUACCUGCCUACAGUUACCACCAAGUUAAUACAUUUCAGGGGAUUAAUGCACGGAUUAGGUUAAGGCUCUCAUAACAUGAUUAUCUCAUCUCUAAAUUUUUUGCAUGUCUCACACAUGAGCUUUUGGAGGACACCUCAUCUAAACCAUAACACUCCUACUUCAGCUUCCCUAAUAGCUAGGACUACAGGUACAUACCACCUGGCAAAAUGUUCUUUCUUGACAUAGCCCCUGUGACAUUUUACCAUACUCAUCUUUAGGAGGAGUCCUCUCUUUUUUCCAUCUUUCCUAGAAUGAUUUUUCUUAUCAGAUACUAUGGACAGACACUUCACCCUGCAUUCUAUUGUUUUCCCAAUUGGCCCUUUUUGGAGUACUGCAGGUUUUUCUAGCUGAGUCAUUUAUAAACCCAUACAAUGUUAGGAAUUUUCAGAAUAUGAGUAACAAAAAUACUUUCUGAUACUAACAACAGGGAGGCACAGAACAUCUUGGAAGCCACUACCAAUGAAACAUCAAACUGGUCCCACAGUAGCUAAAAUGUUAGGGAUUACAUUUCUCUGAAUUUUGUGGUCUAUUAGCAGCAAUGUCAAUUUAAGAAUAAACAUCUCUCUGAAAUAGAAGAAUAAUUAGGAAAUGAAUAACAGCACAUGCCUUUAAGUAGUCUGUUCAUGUAACUAUGCAUACAAAGUUACAUGCAUAUGUUGAGUCAAGUAUGGAAGAGAACCAUCCAAAUGCCUCCAAAGCUGGGCAUGGUGGUCGACGCCUAUAAUCCCAGCAGUUUGGGAGGCUGAGGCAGGAGGAUCACAAGUUCAAAGCCAGCCUCAGCAACUUAGUGAGACCCUGUCUCAAAGUAAGAUAUUUUAAAAAGUGUUGGGGAUGUGACUCAGUAUUUAAGAGCCUUAGGUUCAAUCCCCAGUACCCCCAAAAUGCCUCCAAAGUAACAAAAACCAACGAAGAUUUGUUGAAAUCUUAGAUUUCAGGAUUUCCCUGUGCUCAGAUAAUUCUGAAAUUUGUAUUGUUAAAAUUAUCUUUCUUAAUCUCUUUAACACUAUUGUUAUCUUUAAAGCAGCUUGUUUGUAAGAGCUUUGAAUGGUCUGCAGAAAGUCUGAAACUUGCCAGAUAGAGUGGCCCAUGCCUGUAAUCCCAGCAGCUUGGGAGAUUGAGACAGGAGGAUUGCAAGUUUGAGGCCAGUCUCAGCAAUUUAUUGAGACUCUGUCUUAGGAAACAACAAAAAGUUGAAAUGGCUUUAGCUCACGUAUUGAAGUUGUCUAUAAAACUAAUUGAUGUAUUCUAAUCCCAUAAACUAUCUGUUAUGUAUGAAUAACAGAUAGUUUAUGGGAUUCAAGAAGAUGGGAUCUCACAAAUGCUGAACUAGCUGUUCGAUUUCACAGACAAGGUUAAUGACAACUGGUAAAUCAAAUUUCAAUUAUAGUCAAUAAUUUUAUUCUUCAUAUUUUGAAAAAGCUUCUAUAAAAAGUUUGACUAAUUUGAAUUCUGUUAGCACCCUACUGAAGGUGCUAAUGAGCACUGACAUUUUUACAAGUAAGUAGAAGGCAAAGAGAAGGAAAAAUAGGAAGAGCCACAGACUUGGUAGCCUGCCCUGUACAAUUGGCAAAACGUUCUCUUCCAAGUCAAUCCACUCUGUCCCAGAGAAUAAAGGAUAUUAAUAUGUAGAGGAAAAACUUUGGUGGGAGGAACAAAACUUCUCGUGUGUAUUUUUUCUUUCUUGGGUAAGGACAGAAGUCACCACAGUUGUUCUUUGUGGAUUUGCCAUUCUGGGCUCCACAUUGGGAUCAUUUUCAAGACCAAGAGAACACAGUGUAGACUCCCUACUUUCCUUUUCUCAUAUUAAACUCUAGUAGAAUUACAGACAAUCUUAUAAAUGAUAUAUUUAGUUUAGUGAAGACCUUGGUGGGAGGUUAAUUUUUAUAGAAUGAAAAGCAUGAAUAAUAAAAAUUAGCAGAAACCCAGGGGAAUAGAAAGAGUAAUGGUAUAAAUUCCGUAUAGGCUGGACAAGUAGAUGAAUAUAGGGAUGUAAAAGGAUUUUUCUUAAGAAUACAGUGUUAUUCCUCAUUGAAACUUUUAAAAAUUGUAGGAGAUUGACAAUCAUCAGAAGAGAAACAAGCAAGGAAGAGAUGGGAGUUGGGUGUUUUGAGGUAGCACGUUGAGACAGCAGGCUUGGACUUUAGCUCUCCCAGGGUGGAUUUUGGCUUAGAUUUGCAAAGGCAGCAUUCCAGGGAUUCUUCAUUUCUACUGUGUAUUAAUUAAUCUACCACCAGGUGCCAUUGUCACAGACAAUGGUUAACUGGGUCAAAGACUGACAUGGUUUUGGUUUUUACAAAAGUAGCACUCUGCUCAAGGAGCUAAGCAUAAAUAAUUCGUAGAAUAAUCCCAAAGUGGAGAGAGUGAUACACAAUUAGAAGAGGUUUUGAAGGAUGGACACCUAGGUAUAAUUCAUUAUAUCCCAUACUUUUCUGAAACAUUACUGAUGAUCGCUUUUUCGGUUUUAUCCUGCUUACUUCAUUUUAUCCAGACCUUAAGAGGAAUGAACUUUUUAAAUCCACCCAGGACUCUUCUUGUACUUGGUCACAGUUCUGGGAACUUCAGCAGUGUUGUCAAGAAUCAAAACCGUAUCUCUUCCACUGAGGCUUUAACAACAUUAGGCUGGUAUCUGCUCAUCUUGAAUAAGCUUUAGAUGACCUUUCCCAGGGCACUUGAUUGUCUCCCUAAGUCUCAGAAUUGUUUUCCUUCCUCAGACAACAAAGACAUACAGGAACUCUCCUUCUGUUUUUAAAAAAAUUUUAUUAGUUAUUGAUGAACCUUUAUUUAUUUGUUUAUAUGUGGUGCUGAGAAUCGAACCCAGUGCCUCACAUGCUAGGCGAGCACUCUACCACUGAGCCACAACCGCAGCCUCAGGAACAUUCCUUCUUGACUACCUUUAUGAUGGUUAAUUUUUUUUAUCAACUUGACUAGGUUAUUGCAGUUGUUUGGUCAAACACCAGUCUAGAUGUGGCUGAGGUUGUAUAUGUGUGUGUGUGUGUGUGUGUGUGUGUAUGUAUGUAUGUGUGUGUGUGUGUGUGUGAGAUUAACAUUUAAAUCAAUAAACUUUGAGUGGAGCUUACCCUCUACACUGUUGGUCAGCUUCAUCCAAUCAGUUGAAGGCCUUGAGAGCAAAGAUUGAAGGUUUCCUGAAGAAGAAAUUCUCUUCAAGACUGCACCACAGAAACUUGCCUGCGUUUGCAGUCUGCUGCCCGCCCUGAGGAUUUUGGACUCAAGACUGCAAGGUCAGCUCUUACCUGAAUUUCUAGCCUGCCAGCCUGUCCUACAGAUUUUAGAUUUGGCAGCCCCCAAAAUUGCAUGAGCCAGUUUCUUAAAGUCUCUCUGAUUUGUUUCUCUGGAGAACCAUGACAAAUACAAACUUCCUAAUAAGAAAGCUCGUCCUCCAUCUUUACGUUUAGCAUUUUUUUCCCUUUGAAACUAGAGUUUGAGUUUCUAAUCUGCAUCAAAUACUUGUAUUUAUUUGCAACUAUUUUUUCCCAGGUGCAUGGGUUUCCUUAGCUCUGACAGAUUUCUAUUUUGUUUUUUAAAGAAUUUUAUCAUUCAUUUAUUUUUUUCCCUAGAAAAAAAAUGUCAAAAUUACAUUUAAUAGAAAGUAGUCUUAAAACAUAAACACAAAGUGAUUUCUUAGUACUUUGUCACUAUUUUUUUCAGAUGGAGCUCUUAGAAACCUUUUUAAGUCCUUGAGUCUAUUAGAUAAUGCCCAUUUCCUUCUUACAAAAUAUAGUUAACGAUAUUUGGAGGAGUGUGAAUGGGGAUGAAGCUGGUUAUUUGAGUGAAUUUAAGACGUGAAAGACUGUAAGACUGAUAAUAAGAAUGAUAACAGAAUUCAAAUGCCAAUUUGCAAAGGAGACAUAGAGAUGCUGAUGGUUUCUCCUAGUGAGCUGGUGGCAGGUAGACAAAUAAUUCCCCUCGUUCCUUUCUCCUAAUCUCCCUUGUUGCUUGUGGCCUCAGGGACUUCCCCAAGUCUGCCAUGGGUGCUUCUUGCAGGGUUGCUUGUGUAUGUCUUGUGAACACCUGUGGGGCAUGUGAAUGCUUGUGUAGCAAGCAUGUGUAUCUUGGAGUGUUGGUGACAGAGACACAUAGAAAUAUGAUUUAGUCCCUCAGGAACAAAAAGAACCCACUCAUUCCUAAGGGUGAGGGAAAGUUCAGAAUAAUCAGGAAUGUGUGCGAAAUAAAAUCCAAUGUCCAGCUUUGUGUGUUUCCUUCCUUCUUCCUGUUGGGACCAGUAUAAAGAUUUAUUAUCCAAUUAGUAAGAGAAGUUAGAGGUCUGGGUAGAAGUUUCUGUCACUCGGGUGGUUACAACUGGAAAAUUGGCAUUUCUAGAGAGGAAAAAGUGCCAACUUUUUUUUUUUUUUUUUUGCAAUUUUUAGUUAGUGAGAAUUCUGGCUCUUCUUAAGCAUUACAUCAAUCAGUCUUUGACUUUUUCUUUCAAUAUUUUAUUCAACAUUACUAAUCCCCUUUCCUUCUUUAGCCCCCUGGGGAAAUAUGGACUUCUAUGCAGAAGCUGUGGCUUUUUCACUCACAGUUCUCAUCCACCAUAAGAAGGUCAAGCUUCUUAACUAUAAGCCCAAGAUGAUAUAUUUUCUAUGGUAACACAGAUUAGGCAUCCUUUGCCAUCUCCUGCUUGCUCUGAGUUAUGCCAUUUUGAUACACCCUGUGGUAAUGACUCAACCUCUUGUUCCUGAAGUACCGGUCUUUGAGUACCUUUUCUAACUGAAAAGUGAGCAUCUGAAGAUGGCCCAUCUGAACAAAUCUUCAAGUGAAUCAAAGACCUUGGAUAUUAUUGAAACUGGUAUACUUUGGGUGGAUGAGUCUGGGGAGUAGAUAAAACUAUGUGGAGACUAGAGGUCUUCAUCAAGAGAAAAGAAAUUUCAUUCAUCUGUAACUGAAAAUGGAACUUAAAGUUGUAUGUAUGGGCUCAGAGAGAAUAACAUGUACUCAGAUGUAGGAGAAACUUCAGAGUCUUACUGACCUUUGGUCAUGUGUACAAACAAAUUUUCUGUCUUAUAAGAGCCCUUUUGAAAUCCUCACUCAUGCAAGUGAAAACUCAAAAUAAAUUAGCCUCAGUCUUUUCCUGUUAGGAUAGUGUUUCUAGUGGUGAUAAGAUGGUAGGUAAAAGUUGCGAUUUUAAAUACAGUACUCCCCCUUAUUUUCCAUUUCACUUUUGGUAGUUUCAGUCACCUGAUGUCAACAGUUGUCUGCAAAUAUUAAAUGGAAAAUUCUAUAAAUACACAAAUCAUAAGUUUAAAAUUUACACCAUUCUGAGCAACAUGAUGAAAUCUCAUGCCAUUUUUCUGCAUUCUACCUGGGACAUGAAUCAUUCCUUUGUCCAGAGUAUCCAUGCUGUAUACACUACCUGUCUACUAGCCACUCAAUAGCCAUCUUAGUUAUCAGAUGAACUGUCAUGUUAUCACAGUGCUUGUAUUCAAGUAAUCCUGUUUUACUUAAAAAUGGUCCCAAAGUGCAAAAGUAAUGAUGUUGGUAAUUUGGAUAUGCCAAAUUACCAACAUGAAGCUGUGAAGUGCUACCUUUAAGUGAAAAGGUAAAAGUUCUCCUCUUGAAAAGGAAAGAAAACAAACCUAUACUGGAAGAAAACAAACCUAUGCUGAGGUUGUUAAGAUCAAAAUAGUAAUAAAACAUAGUAUAUAUAGGAUUUGGUGCUAUCCAACUUUUCAGGCACUUACUGGGUGUUGGAAUGUUUUUCCCAAGAAUAAGGGGGGACUGCUAUAAUAUGUUUAGGGAAGGACUCACAUUCAAGCAAAGAACUGAAUUCAGAGAACAUCCAUAGGGAUACUGGACAAGUCGUCCAGUAUCCCUAUGGGGAAAAGCAAGAACAAAUGACCUGUGGGAAAAUGUCUGGGUUUUUUGGGGCCCAGUGAGGUGGCCAGGGUGGCUGGAGUGAAGUGAGGAAGGGAAAAUGGGAGAUGAGAAGCCAGUGUGGAAUUGGGCCCAGUUGAGUAGGACUCCUGUAGGAACAUUGACUUCCCCUCAGCAAGUUUGGAGUUAGAGGAGUGACAUGACCUGACUUUUGAUUUAACACGGUCAUCCUAGCUACUGUGUGGAGAGUAGACUAACAGGGGACAAGGGCAGAAGCAGUGACCUAGGAAGAUUUUUCAGUAACUCAGGUAAGGAAUGACUGACUCGGACCAAGUUGGUAGUGAUGAAGGUCCUAAGGUUGUUAGCCUGUGCCAUGGGAAGAAUGGAAUUACCUUAACUACACAGAGGAAGGCUCAGGGAGAGAUGGGUUUUUUGGGGAAGAUCAGAAGUUCACUUUGGGACAUGCCUGUUAGACAUCCAGUAGAGACAUUGAGUAGGCAGUUGAAUACAUGAGUGUAGACAAAUCUGGGAUUCACAUACAUGACAAAGAGAGACACAAGACCCGGUUGAGAUUUCUAAGGGAGAAAAUGUAGACAGAGUCUAAGAGAAAACCUGAGCCUGGGCCGGAACUCUGGAGCAUUCUUGUGAUUAAGCCAGAGGACUUUGCUAAUGGGUCAAGUGGAAAAGAAGAAGCAGCUGUGCCUUAAAUUUUGCAAUGAGGAAAACUUCAGAAACCCUAACAGAGGCACUUUAUGUAGAGAGGUGGGUGUGGAAGUCUGAGUGAGUGGGCUUAGGAGAGGCUGGGAGGGAGGGAUUGCAGCAGGGAUAGAAGGCUUUUUAGAAGUUUUUCUGCAGAGAGAGCAGAAGUAGAGCAGUAGUUAGGGGUGCAAGAGAGCACAUGUUUUCCUUAUUUCCACUUUCCUUUUCCUACUUUUCUUAUUUAAGUAUGAGUAAUAAUACCAUGUGAUUGUCUAAUAGACAAUAUACCAAUAGGAGUGUCUCACAGAAAAAAAUGCUCAUGCAUUAGAGAAGGGAGAAUUCCUGGAGCUCUUCCUUUCAUAGACUGUUUCACAGAACUGAAGACAUUCUAACUUGUGCCAAAUUGCUUCCCGUUAGUGCACAAUGGGACUGUCAGUGAUGCUGGUUAUAGAAAUCGUUUCUCAGGGACAGAAGUGAAGAGAAUUUUUGAGAUCCUUUCAAAAGCCACAAUCCCUGUGUUCUGGAGCCUGAGAUUGGGGUGUAUGAAUGACAACUUCAGUGUCUCAGUGUGACCUGAGGAUAUAUUUUUCUGGGUAUCCAUACAAUGCCCCCCAAAACCCUUUAUAUGCAAUAUACUAUAUAAUAAUACCUCAUUAAAACAGAUUUUACCAUUUGUGAUUAUUGGGAGAGAUGAAAUCAAAGUUUCCCUUCUAUCUCAGAGGUAAUUAUUGUUGUCAUAGAAAAUUAAGACUGUUCACAAAAUAUUUUUUUUACUUUCUUUUUUUUAAAUUUUUAUUGUUGGUUGUUCAAAACAUUACAUAGUUCUUGACAUAUCAUAUUUCACACUUUGAUUCAAGUGGGUUAUGAACUCCCAUUUUUACCCCAUAUACAGAUUGCAGAAUCACAUCAGUUACACAUCCAUUGAUUUACAUAUUGCCAUACUAGUGUCUGUUGUGUUCUGCUGCCUUUCCUGUCCUCUACUAUCCCCCCUCCCCUCCCCUCCCCUCCCCUCUUCUCUCUCUACCCCAUCUACUGUAAUUCAUUUCUCCCCCUUUUUUUUUUCCCUUUCCCCUCACUUCCUCUUGUAUGUAAUUUUGUAUAACCCUGAGGGUCUCCUUCCAUUUCCAUGCAAUUUCCCUUCUCUCUCCCUUUCCCUCCCACCUCUCAUCCCUGUUUAAUGUUAAUCUUCUUCUCAUGCUCUUCGUCCCUACUCUGUUCUUAGUUACUCUCCUUAUAUCAAAGAAGACAUUUGGCAUUUGUUUUUUAGGGAUUGGCUAGCUUCACUUAGCAUAAUCUGCUCUAAUGCCAUCCAUUUCCCUGCAAAUUCUAUGAUUUUGUCAUUUUUUAAUGCAGAGUAAUACUCCAUUGUGUAUAAAUGCCACAUUUUUUUUAUCCAUUCGUCUAUUGAAGGGCAUCUAGGUUGGUUCCACAGUCUUGCUAUUGUGAAUUGUGCUGCUAUGAACAUCGAUGUAGCAGUGUCCCUGUAGCAUGCUCUUUUUAGGUCUUUAGGGAAUAGACCGAGAAGGGGAAUAGCUGGGUCAAAUGGUGGCUCCAUUCCCAGCUUUCCAAGAAAUCUCCAUACUGCUUUCCAAAUUGGCUGCACCAAUUUGCAGUCCCACCAGCAAUGUACAAGUGUACCCUUUUCCCCACAUCCUCGCCAGCACUUGUUGUUGUUUGACUUCAUAAUGGCUGCCAAUCUUACUGGAGUGAGAUGGUAUCUUAGGGUGGUUUUGAUUUGCAUUUCUCUGACUGCUAGAGAUGGUGAGCAUUUUUUCAUGUACUUGUUGAUUGAUUGUAUGUCCUCCUCUGAGAAGUGUCUGUUCAGGUCCUUGGCCCAUUUGUUGAUUGGGUUGUUUGUUCUCUUAUUGUCUAAUUUUUUGAGUUCUUUGUAUACUCUGGAUAUUAGGGCUCUAUCUGAAGUGUGAGGAGUAAAGAUUUGUUCCCAGGAUGUAGGCUCCCUAUUUACCUCUCUUAUUGUUUCUUUUGCUGAGAAAAAACUUUUUAGUUUGAGUAAGUCCCAUUUGUUGAUUCUAGUUAUUAACUUUUGUGCUAUGGGUGUCCUAUUGAGGAAUUUGGAGCCCGACCCCACAGUAUGUAGAUCGUAGCCAACUUUUUCUUCUAUCAGACGGCGUGUCUCUGAUUUGAUAUCAAGCUCCUUGAUCCAUUUUGAAUUAACUUUUGUGCAUGGCGAGAGAAAGGGAUUCAGUUUCAUUUUGUUGCAUAUGGAUUUCCAGUUUUCCCAGCACCAUUUGUUGAAGAUGCUAUCCUUCCUCCAUUGCAUGCUUUUAGCCCCUUUAUCAAAUAUAAGAUAGUUGUAGUUUUGUGGAUUGGUUUCUGUGUCCUCUAUUCUGUACCAUUGGUCCACCCGCCUGUUUUGGUACCAGUACCAUGCUGUUUUUGUUACUAUUGCUCUGUAGUAUAGUUUGAAGUCUGGUAUCGCUAUACCGCCUGAUUCACACUUCCUGCUUAGCAUUGUUUUUGCUAUUCUGGGUCUUUUAUUUUUCCAUAUGAAUUUCAUGAUUGCUUUCUCUAUUUCUACAAGAAAUGCCGUUGGGAUUUUGAUUGGCAUUGCAUUAAACCUAUAGAGAACUUUUGGUAAUAUCGCCAUUUUGAUGAUGUUAGUUCUGCCUAUCCAUGAACAGGGUAUAUUUUUCCAUCUUCUAAGAUCUUCUUCUAUUUCUCUCUUUAGGGUUCUGUAGUUUUCAUUGUAUAAGUCUUUCACCUCUUUUGUUAGGUUGAUUCCCAAGUAUUUUAUUUUUUUUGAAGAUAUUGUGAAUGGAGUGGUUGUCCUCAUUUCCAUUUCAGNAUAAUAUAUGAUCUAUUUUUGAGAAGGAUCCAUGUGCUGCUGAGAAAAAAGUGUAACUGCUUGAUGUUGGGUGGUAUAUUCUAUAUAUGUCAAUUAAGUCUAGGUUAUUAAUUGUAUUAUUGAGUUCUAUAGUUUCUUUAUUCAACUUUUGUUUGGAAGAUCUGUCCAGUGGUGAGAGAGGUGUGUUAAAGUCUCCCAUAAUUAUUGUAUGGUGGUCUAUUAGACUCUUGAACUUGAGAAGAGUUUGUUUGAUGAACAUAGCUGCACCAUUGUUUGGAGCAUAUAUAUUUAUGAUUGUUAUGUCUUGUUGGUGUAUGGUUCCCUUGAGCAGUAUGUAGUGUCCCUCUUUAUCCCUUUUGAUUAACUUUGGCUUGAAAUCUAUUUUAUUUGAUAUGAGUAUGGACACUCCUGCUUGUUUCCGAAGUCCAUAUGAGUGAUAUGAUUUUUCCCAACCUUUUACCUUCAGUCUAUGUAUGUCUUUUCCUAUCAAAUGCGUCUCCUGUAGGCAGCAUAUUGUUGGGUCUUGUUUUGUGAUCCAUUCUACUAGCCUGUGUCUCUUAAUUGGUGAGUUUAAGCCAUUAACAUUUAGGGUUAUUAUUGAGAUAUGGAUUGUUCUUCCAGCCAUAUUUGUUUAUUUAUGUUACUUAACAUGGUUUGUUUUUCCUCUUUGAUUAUUUUUCCCUUUACUGUACUACCUUCCACUGUUGGUUUUCAUUGUUAUUUUCCAUUUCCUCUUCCUGUAAUGUUUUGCCGAGGAUGUUUUGAAGAGAUGGUUUUCUAGCUGCAAAUUCUUUUAACUUUUGUUUAUCGUGGAAGGUUUUAAUUUCAUCUUCCAUCCUGAAGCUUAAUUUCGCUGGAUACACAAUUCUUGGUUGGAACCCAUUUUCUUUCAGCGUUUGAAAUAUGUUGUUCCAGGAUCUUCUAGCUUUCAGAGUCUGUGUUGAAAGAUCAGCUGUUAUCCUGAUUGGUUUACCCCUAAAUGUAAUCUGCUUCCUUUCUCUUGUAGCUUUUAAAAUUCUCUCCUUAUUCUGUAUGUUGGGCAUCUUCAUUAUAAUGUGUCUAGGUGUGGAUCUCUUAUGAUUUUGCACAUUCGGCGUCCUGUAGGCUUCUAGGAUUUGGGAUUCUGUCUCAUUCUUCAAGUCUGGGAAGUUUUCUCGUAUUAUUUCGUUGAACAGAUUGCUCAUUCCUUUGGUUUGGACCUCUAUACCUUCCUGUAUCCCAAUGACUCUUAAGUUUGGUCUCUUUAUGUUAUCCCAAAUUUCUUGGAUGUUCUGCUCAUGGUUUCUUAACAGUCUCGCUGAGCUGUCUAUGUUCUUUUCAAGUUGAAAUACUUUGUCUUCAUUGUCUGAUGUUCUAUCUUCUAAGUGUUCUACUCUGCUGGUAGUAUUCUCAUUUGAGUUUUUAAGUUGGUUUAUUGCUUCCUGCAUUUCUAGGAUUUCUGUUUGUUUGUUUUUUAUAACCUCUAUCUCCCUGUAUAGUUGAUCUUUUGCUUCUUGGAUUUGUUUAUGUAACUCAUUGUCGAAGUGAUCUUUCAUUGUUUGAUUUUGCUGUCUAAUGUCUUCCUUGAGACUCCAGAUCAUCUGAAGCAUGUAAAUCCUGAAUUCUUUAUCUGACAUUCCAUCUUCUGCAGCUAUUACCUCUUCUAAAGUUGAGUUGACCUGCAUUGCUUGUGGUCCUUUCUUUCCUUAUCUUUUCAUACUGCUCGCGUUUCUUUCUGCUUGGUGAAACUGUUGUGUUAUUGAAUUUCCCCCCUAUAUAUUUAUAUUGCUCUUGUAUAGUUGCAAAGUUUCCCUUGCAGGGGCUGGCGGUGGCUGUGCUCCUCCUCCAAUUGGGGUGACCUGUCUAUCUCGCCGGCAGGCCGCUGGGCCCCUUCUCCAGGUUGCGUGGUCUGCCUACCUUGCGGCAACGGCUGGGCCCCUCCUCCAAUAGGGAUGAUCUGUCUACCAUGCUGGCAGGCCGCUGGGCCUGUUCUCCAGGUUGCAGGUCUGCCUACCUUGCAGGCGCAGGCGGCGGCUGUGCCCCUUCUCCAAUUGGGGUGAUCUUUCAACUAGGCCAGCAUGCCGCCGGGCCCCUUCUCCAGGACGCGCGGUCUGCCUACCUUGUGGGCAGCAGCUUGGAGCUUCCUCCAAUUGGGGCGAUAUGUCUACCAUGCCGGCAGGCCGCUGGGCUUGCUCCGCUGGUCGGUCGCAGGUCUGCCUACCUUGCAGGCGCUGGCGGUGUCUCUGCUCCACCCCUCCUCCAAUUGGGGCGAUGUGUCUACCACGCAGGCAGUCUGCUGGGCCUGCUCCUGUUCACAAAAUUAUAUGGCGAAUUUUACAUAGUUUUUGAAAAGAUUGGGGCAUUAUCAUCAAUGCAUAUGCUAAUAAUAAAUUCCAAUUCAAGUAGAGAUGAGUGGUAAGCCUAUGCUUUCUCUCUUUCUUUCUUUUUUGGUACCAGAGAUUGAACUCAAGGGCACUUAACCCCUGAGCCACAGGGUCUCGCUAAGUGGUUUAGAGCCUCGCUAAAUUGCUAAGACUGGCUUUGAACUUGUAAUUUUCCUGCCUCAGCCUCCUGAGCCACAGGGAUUAUAGGCAUGUGCCACGACACCUUACAGCCCAUGCUUCCUUAUACCAAAUCAAAUAAGUUUUCUCCAUUUCACUGAGGUUCUGCAUUAAGCAACACUUUCUUAUCUUAUUUAAAAUACUACUGCCUGUUGUGUAAAAAUAGUCUAUCAAUCUGAUUUUCAAUAACUGGGAAAAAUUUCUGCCUCUAGGUCUGGUUUACAGAAGUUUUUAAAAUUGAUACCUUCCUAAGCAUUCUUUAAAAAGAGAAAACCAAUUCAAUCAGGACUUUUCAAUAUUUUCCACCAAAUUACCCUUGAGCCCAUAGGAGAAUAGAUGCAUACUCUUAAGAAUGGGGUUAUAGCCAAGUAGGUGAUGAAAUAAUUUAUUUGAAGUCUACAUUUUAAAUAUUAAAAUCCAUAUGAAAAUUUCAGUUUAUACCAUAAUAAUGCUAUGUUUAAAAAUAUAUUACCAUGUAUUAUUUACUUACUUAUUAUUUACUUAUUUAUUUUUGCAGUUCUGGGGAUUGAACACAAGACCUCACACCUGCUGGGCAUGCUCUCUAUCACUGAGUUACAUCCCAGCCAAUUAAAAUAUUUUAAAUUAUCAUUUUUUGGGGGGAAAAGUUACUCUAUUUGUCUCAUCAACUCAGUAAAGAAGCUGCCUCUCAUGGAUUCCAUCCAUGCUAGAAAACUGGGCUGAGCCAAAGGCAACUGACACUGGAUUCAUCAUCUAGGCAACGUCUCUUCUCUAUUUUGGAGAAAUUUUGAAUUUAGUGUCUCCAGACCCAUACCCAUAAUUAUCUGAGAUACCCUCCAAGCUGCUAAGUUAGAACCUCUGGUUGUAGGGCUAUGGAUCUGCAUUUUAGCAAGACUUCCAGGUGCUUCUGAUGCACAUUGAGGUGUUUAUAUGUUUAAACAUUUUUGGGGAGAACACAAGAAGAAAGAGAUCAAUUUCAGUGUGGAAAAACUCAAACAGUAGAGAAGAAAAGAAGACCAUUUUUUUUUAAACUUGCUAGCAUGACUAUCUUGCUGAGGGCUACAGUGGGAAAAUUGAUUCUCUUGCCAGCAUCCAUCUCCCCUUCUUCCUUCCAACAGAAUCUAAUUUUCUUCAUUCCUCUUGCAUGCAGCUGGGUGCCCCCAGUGGAGCUAAUCCCUGUCCUGGUCACAUGGAUCCCAUCCUAAUUACCAGUGACUGGCCUGGAAUGGGCAGAUGAGCCAGCAGCCAAUGGGACAUGCCAGGAGUUCUGCUAAGAGGACUUUGGGGAAAGUGUCUGUUACACAAAAGAGCUUUGCAGAAAAGAAAUGACACUAGAAUGUACACCAGGAACCACUGCCUUCAUCUUGCUGCCAGCCUUAGGAAAGAUGCACCAACAAGAAAAGGGUAGAAUGGAAACAUGGAGGGAAAAACUUUGAUCCUUAAUAAUGUAGUUGAGUUUCCCUUUCUCUAAACUUUGUAUUGUAGGAAAAAAGUUUUCCUUUUGAUUAAGUUACUUUAGUUGGAUUUCCAUUAUGUGUAGCCAAUAGGAACCUAAAUGAUCUAGGGUGAUCCAGGGUUGAUAUUCUCAGAAUGUGAAUUUGGACAUGAUAAGAUAAAGAGGGUGUGACCAUGUGGGAAAACAAGAAUGAGGUUUGGAAAGAAGUGUUUUAUAUUCAUAAGUCCUAAAAAUGGAUACUGCAUACCAUGGAGGGCCAUAGGGGAAAUGUCAGAUUGGGUCAGGUGGCAGAAAGGAUCAUGAGCCUUCUUUGGAGUUUCCCUGGGAAAGGCAAGGCUAAGGCCAGGCAGAGCAAACAGUUCAGGAUCGGCUAGUUGGAACAAUUCCAAUGAGCUUUGCACUAAAUGAAUGGUUUCUAGUUGCCUAAUACCUUGCCCUGGGUUGCUUUAGAGCAAGGAAAUAUUGGUGCAGUGUCUGAAUUAGAUCAGGACAUGACUGGGCCGUAGGCUUGGGGUUGAUUGGUUUGUUUAUGUGAAAAACAUAAAUUUUGGCUCUUUGCCAAGUCCUUUGCUGACUCUAAGAAUUAGCAAGCCCUGGAAAGGGAAGACUUUCCUUGGCCAGCAAACUUUCUAAGAUGUCAAAACAUACAGCACAGAAAAUAAAAAACUUGAUUAACACAAUGGGGACUUUUCAAAAUAAGGAGUCAAAACAUUCCAGAGUAUUAACGAGCACUGUUCAACUGUAUGGAGAAACCAUUUAAACCAAAGGAGUAGAGUUCUGGGGAGACAUGACCGUCUGAGAAGCACAUCUAUCAGAAUUAGCUCUGAAAAAGAAGAGAGAUGAGAGAUGGGGAUAGGAAACAGGAGAGACACCUCCAAGGGAAAAUGCUGAAAUCCCUGUAGCAGAAGAGAGUGCGGCUCCAAUAUAGCAGGAGUGGAGGUAGAGUGACUUAAGAUAGGCUGGAGGUAGGCAGGGGCAAGGUCUUGCCAUCCAUUUUAAGUAUUUGGGACUUUGUUUUAGGGGAAAUGAGAAUUUCACUGAAAGGCUUUAUGGGGAUGGGGAGAAGAGGGGGUUGGUGACCUGACCCGACUCCCAUAGUAAGAGAUCAGUCUAGUAGCUGUCAGGACUUUCAUACAAUUUUUCCAUCACUUUAGACUCAGUUGAUUAUUCAAGACUCCUUAAAUAAUCAACAACUGAGUCUUGAAUAAACAACUGAGCAGUAUUGGAAAUAUCUGUUGAUUUAUCAAGGAAAGCCACUCAAAAUCAUUUGUGUUAACUGAUUAUUGAUGUUGCUGCAACAUCUCAACUCUUAGAGGAAUUCAACACACCGAAAGGCUAAUAGUUUUAAACAAGUUUGUUUUUUCUGGAUACUUCUUUAGCUGCUGCAAUCAAAGAUAAUUAAGGGGCUGGGGUGUAACUCAGUGGCAAAGUACUUGAAUAGAAUGCAUGAAGCCCUGUGUUGAACCUUAGCAAUUCAGGGGAAGAAAGAAAAAAAAGCUAUUUAAUUUACUUUUAGCAAAUGACUUUCCCUGUGGAGCUCACAGACAAGCCAGUAGGAUACUUAUUUUGGUUGAAGUAUUAUUUUCAUUUUUUAAAAUUUUUGUGAAGACAUUUUGCUACAAUGAGAUAUUUCAUUUUAAAUUUUCUAUUUUUUUCCCUGAGCAUUGCUUUCCUGUGAAUUGAGAAUGUUGUGGUGACUGUUUCAGAUAAAUAUCAAUAUAUCUUCUAUAAUAUCAUUGUUCAAUAAACACAAUGCUUUGCCACAUAAUUUAAUCAAAAUAAUCCUUAGAAGGAUUAUUUUGUUGUGCCUUAGAAGCAUGACACUUGAUGUUUUGAAAUGUUUUUCUUGUUUUAACAGGAUGGGUAUGGACUGGACAUAGAAGAAAUAAAGCAUCAUGAGACUCUUGAAACACUUAUCAAGUUAUACUGUCUCACUGAGAUUGUGGUACACCAAGCAGCAUUGGGAAGCAGUAACAGAACCAGAUAAAGUCUCUGUCAUGUGGGCUGGGGGUUUAAUUCAGUGUUAGAAUCUUGCUUAGUACACAUAAGGAGUUGGGUUCAAUCCCCAGCACAACAUAACAUUUUUAGAAAAUGAAGUCAAGUCUCUGUUUCAACUAUUUAACUCCUUUAUUGUAGCACAGAAAGCAACCACAGAUGAUAUAUGUGUGAAUAAAUAUGACUGAGCUUCAGUAGAACAUUAU